rnacentral:rRNA from 1 species
CAGUGAAUCCGGAUGGUAAUGUCCGGUGGAGUUUCUGGAAAAGCAAAUGUAGGCAUAAGUAACGAUAAUGGAUGGGAACAACAUCCACACCGAAAGACCAAGGAUUCCUGAUCAACGCUAAUCGGAUCAGGGUCAGUCGGGACCUAAGGAUAACCCGAAGGGGGAUUCCGAUGGCAAAUGGGUUAAUAUUCCCAUACCGUUCAUACAGGUGAUGGGGUGACGGAGUG